GCUCAGAUAGCUCAUUUGGUAGAGCAUCAGGAUUUUAAGCUGACGGUCCAGGGUUCAAGUCCCUUUUUGGGAG